rnacentral:lncRNA from 1 species
UUGCUCUUUUCAUUUAGUUUAUUAAUGUAUGGAAUGCAAGUUCACUGUACAGCAAAGACACAGCACCAAGCAAUGGGGAGCAGCACAGAGCAAACAUGAUGUGAACUGAGUAGAGGAGGGCUAUACAGAUAGGGGUGAGCUCAGGGGUAUGGGAGGGUUCCGAGGUCAGCCAGAGGUCAUCCAAUCAGGGUUCGGCACAGGGCGAUGGUCUCGCCAACGCCUCUGAUUAAUCAUGGCUGGUUUGAUUACUUGUCCAAGUUGCCAGGUUACUUCAACAUGUAGAAUGAAGUUGCCCUUAGAUACUGAUCUAAGGUCAUGAUUAAGGUUAGGACUUGGGUAGGGUAAACUGAUGCUAGAUGCACCCAGACUGCACCGCAAGCUAUCUAGAGCUCAUUGAAACUCUCUAGUGUACAGUAGUAACAUUGCCACUUAUUUGAAACCAAUUUAACCCUCAGAAUACUGUACAAAGGAAUGCAUGGCUGUUGACAUUGGUUUCGCCACUCCUAACCCCCCAACAUUGAUUUUGCCACUGCGAUUUGUAAAAGAUAUCGAACAUAAAUGCAAAAAUGGAGCUUGGCUGUCUAAUGCGAUUCAACAGUUACACCACACACCUGGUAACAGUUGAGUUAUGUGUCCCAAAGCCAACUUUAACUUGUCAUAAUCCUAACAUGGCACCUUCAGCUCAACCUAUGCCUUUUCGUCUAAAUGCAUUAACUCGGAGUAGCUUCGUUUUGUAAGAGGGUACCUAACAAGUAAUACUCUGACAGGACACAUACAUUAGUCUUACCAUAUCAUGUUUGUGACAUUCUUGUUGGCUUUCUGGCACAUAGUUCAUCUAAAGUAUGUCCUCGAUUACAAAACUGUUGGAAGUAGUUCCUUCAUACAAAUACAGAAGUGUCACUACUACCAAACAUUAUCACAGCACACUUUUCAUACAGUAGUAAACAUAGGCCAUGGUAUCCCUCAAACACUCAAAAUAUAACCAGACCAAAACACACCAAAAGCAAAUGAGGGAUUGAGAUACCAGGUAUCACUGGAACACUUUGCUUGAAGGAGGAUAAAUAAGGGCUUAUAUUUAUAAUGCCAUAUAGUCACCGCAAGAGGCCUGGUAAAUGUCCAUAUAAAACUUGAAUCCAUAUAACACACAGUAAGUCAUCCCUGAAAAUGGCAUAAACGCCACCAGGAUAAAAAUCAUUAGCAAUUGCUAAUGUCAUGAUAGUUGUUGUUAAAUGUGUAUGUAGAUGGAUGGAGAGCCUUAUGUAUGCCCCUUCAAGUGCAGUGAUAGCACUUUACAGCACUACUAUUAUUUAAUGGAGUCAACCAAAUGUGAACAUGUUGUGGGACCUCGGGAUUGGCAAACCCUCUGUUAUCAUGACUGGAUUUGUUGAGUUAUCUUUUUUCCCCCCCAUUCUGUAUUGAAAACACUGUAUGCUAAUAAUACCUUCCAUUUCCAUUUUCCUGUUACAGAGUUUAAUUUCCUGUAGAUGGAGUCUACAGUUAGAACAGACACAAUGCAGACUUUUUCAUUUCACUGACAUCUAGGCCGGGAUUCAAUCUGAGGCGCAUUGUGGAACUCAUGACAUUUCAAGGGAAUUUCCAAUUGAGCAGACAUUUUCAGCAGCUACAGUCAAUGCAUGCAGUCUCCUCGGGAACAUUGCCUUUAAAGAUGGAAUCCACAAUGGGGAGAAACAGCGCCACUGUCCGCCCCACAGCUGUUGUUAUUGUUUUUGUUUUGUUGACGAAGCAGAGGUGGGGAGCACUGGGGGAGCGUCGUGCAUCAAGAAAAACAAAUGCAGUACAUAUAGUAUGCCACUGUUCUAUCGUGUGUGCAGUGAUGUCAGAGGGGAAAAAUCGGUGUUGGUUGUUUGCAGUAACUUAUUUGUUGUGGCAGUUUCACCAUUAAGAAUUUUUGCUUUAAUGGGCGCAUUGUCAACAUCGCUCUAAAACGUGCCUCGGAUUGAAUCCCAGCCAUAGCCUAUGUUGGACAUUUACUGAUGUAUAGUUGAAGUCGGAAGUUUACAUACACCUUAGCCAAAUACAUUUUAACUCAAGUUUUUCACAAUUCCUGACAUUUAAUCCUAGUAAAAAUUCCCUGUCUUAGGUCAGUUAGGAUCACCACUUUAUUUUAAGAAUGUGAAAUGUCAGAAUAAUAGUAGAGAGAAUGAUUUAUUUCAGCUUUUAUUUCUUUCAUCACAUUCCCAGUGGGUCAGAAGUUUACAUACACUCAAUUAGUAUUUGGCAGCAUUGCCUUUAAAUUGUUUAACUUGGGUCAAACGUUUCGGGUAGCCCUCCAUAAGCUUCCCACAAUAAGUUGGGUGAAUUUUGGCCUAUUCCUCCUGACAGAGCUGAUGUAACUGAGUCAGGUUUGUAGGCCUCCUUGCUCGCACAUGCUUUUUCAGUUCUGCCCACAAUCUUUUUAUGGGAUUGAGGUCAGGGCUUUGUGAUGGCCACUCCAAUACCUUGACUUUGUUGUCCUUAAGCCAUUUUGCCACAACUUUGGAAGUAUUCUUGGGGUCAUUGUCCAUUUGGAAAACCCAAGCUUUAACUUCCUGACUGAUGUCUUGAGAUGUUGCUUCAAUAUAUCCACAUAAUUGUUCUUCCUCAUGAUGCCAUCAAUUUUGUGAAGUGCACCAGUCCCUCCUGCAGCAAAGCACCCCCACAACAUGAUGCUGCCACCCCCGUGCUUCACGGUUGGGAUGGUGUUCUUCAUCUUGCAAGGCUCCCCCUUUUUCCUCCAAACAUAACGAUGGUCAUUAUGGCCAAACAGUUCUAUUUCCCCAUGUGCAGUUGCAACCGUAGUCUGGCUUUUUUAUGGCAGUUUUGGAGCAGUGGCUUCUUCCUUGCUGAGCGGCCUUUAAGAUUAUGUUGAUAUAGGACUCGUUUUACUGUGGAUAUAUAUACUUUUGUACCUGUUUCCUCCAGCAUCUGCACAAGGUCCAUUGCUGUUGUUCUGGGAUUGAUUUGCACUUUUCGCACCAAAGUACGUUCAUCUCAGGAAGGAGACAGAACGCAUCUCCUUCCUGAGCGGUAUGACGGCUGUGUGGUCCCAUGGUGUUUAUACUUGCGUACUAUUGUUUGUACAGAUGAACGUGGUACCUUCAGGUAUUUGAAAUUGCUCCCAAGGAUGAACCAGACUUGUGGAGGUCUACAAUUUUUUCUGAGGUCUUGGCUGAUUUAUUUUGAUUUUCCCAUGAUGUCAAGCAAAGAGGCACUGAGUUUGAAGGUAGGCCUUGAAAUACAUCCACAGGUACACCUUCAAUUGACUCAAAUUAUGUCAAUUAGCCUAUCAGAAGCUUCUAAAGCCAUUAUUUUCUGGAAUUCUCCAAGCUGUUUAAAGGCACAGUCAACUUUGUCUAUGUAAACUUCUGACCCACAGGAAUUGUGAUACAGUGAAUUAUAAGUGAAAUAAUCUGUCUGUAAACAAAUGUUGGAAAAAUAUACAUGCAAAAUAUACAUGCAGAAAGUAGAUGUCCUAACCGACUUGCCAAAACUAUAGUUUGUUAACAAUACAUUUGUGGAGUGGUUGAAAAACAAGUUUUAAUGACUCCAAUCUAAGUGUAUGUAAACUUCCCACUUCAACUGUAGCUAGCUACUGUGCUAUUUCAUACUGCCUUAAGGUCUCUUCUACUUUGUAUAAUACUAUAACUUUGUAUCUAUACAGUAGGUAUUCUAGUGGUUUAAUUUAAUUUCAUAAUGAAUGUCUUUAUCACGCAAACAUUAUCUAAAAUACUCGUUUCAUUUAAAAGGUAGCUCAUUUGGCGUACUUAAUAAGGUUCUAAUGUGAAUCUCUUAAUAUUUCCUACUGUAGAUAGCCACAGUAUAACAGCAGAAAGUGACUGUAUCUCCAACGGUUGGAAGGGGACCUGACCUUGGAUCAUUUUAGAACAGCAACAUGCUCAGAAUUUGUACUUUCACAAUUUUUAUAAAUACCCAACAGGCACAUUCUAUAGAUCAGAGGUUCAUAACCACUCCAUUCAUAUACAUCCAAAUGUCUACACAGAUCAACUUCAAUAACAAGUAAACCAUCAUCAUAAUACAGUAACGUCAAUUGUGUUCUUAAAACAAAAAUGCUCUAUUGCAAGCGUUCAAGGUAGGGUCUGCCAAGAUGUCAGCCAAAUGGCCCAAUUAUGGGUAAAAGAAAAAGCAAGAUAUCUUGAGAAAGCCUACUUAUCCGAGAGAGUUUCAACAGCUCUUCUCCUCUGUUGUGUGAUGGUGAGGAUGCGCCAUUGCAGGAAGAAAAGUUCAACUUUGACCUUUCUGUGUUAGCUGUGGUGCCCCUUUCUCUACUCUGGCACAUUUGGCGUCGUCGAGUUAGUGCCCCCAAACCAGCGCCGCGAUUUACUGACCUCGCUGGUGCAGAGUAGCCUACUGUUCUCACAUCUCCUGCAAUCUGUGUAUCCUCUGGCAUUCCCAUAACCAUUCUCACUGUUACAGAAAUGGGCCAAAGCACAGUUAUGGACUUUGCUGGUUUAGCGAGUAUAUAAAACUAAGGGAAGGUUUUCCUGUUCAUGAAAACCUGCUUUACUGCAUGCAUGUCAACAGUACUGGACCUACAUCUAAUGGAUACAUAUACGUUUUUUUCUCUUGACAAACUACGUAGAUAUGUAAGCACACUCUAGAUUGAAUCAAGAUCCGCAUUAUAGCGCAAUUAAAAUAUAAAGGUAAUUUACAAUUGAGCCGACAUACUGUUUGCAGCGUUUACAGAUAAUGUAGUCUCAGCGAAUCUGAGAACAUUGCCUUUAAAUUUCAAUUGUGCUUUAGCGUCAAUUUUCUGCUGUCCAGAUUUAAUCUAGGCCUCAGUAGGCAUUAGAGUUGGAUCUGAGGUCUAGAAUGGUGGGUGGAAUUUACUUAGUAGGACUUCGGACCACAUUGUAGUCCUAUAGUCUGCCAGAUUAUCUCAUACUAAGUACCCCUGUAAUAAAAAUGUCCUGCACUUCAAGUGUGGCAUUGGUGUGGGAUGUGGCGGCAGUGAGACUCUACAGUGAUAUGAUGGUAUGAGCACAUCAAAGAGACAACAGCUCCUAAGAUUUAGAUCCACUUGACAUUCAGGCAAAAACCUUCCCAUUAAUUUCCUUAGAGGAUACUAUGCAGAGGCAAGCUGAGAACAGUUUGGUGGUCUAGAUAGGAUACAGCUUAAAUCAAAUUAAUCUGGCCCACCAGCUGGCUCUCUCUGUCGAACCGUCUGUUUUCCGAGCAUCUCAGAAAAGGACUUGACUGGAAGCCUAUGGCAGGAGCGGAGAAACAACCACUGGUUUUAAUUGGCUGAUCUCUCAGUCCAUCACCAUCUAGUGCAACCCUAGGAACCUCCCCCUAAGUGUGCUGCAUUCGGGGGCCAGUAUUGUUUUUGUGUUCGUGUGUAACAAAGCUAUGGCUAGCUGUUGGCAUGAACGGCGAUAUGUUCCUACUACCUGGGAGUUAUUUCCAUGGUGCACCAUAACAAAUACCUUUCCCCCUCGAUUUGGAACCACAUCUCAUAGUCGUGUGAUUUGCUCAGAAUUUGAAUUGAUAAUCAUGUCACUCAGUAAAUCUACACCCCUUCACAGUCCCACACUGUUGCCAGGCUCUAUGUUCCAGAAAUUCGAGCCUGGGGACAAGUUUUAUUAUGUGCAUUUUAGCCUAAUUCUCCUAACCUGCUACAUGAAUUAUCCUAACCUAUCUAGUCAAAACCCAGUUGUUUGGCUUGAGUGUUGAGACCAGUGCAGACAGGUGUACUAGGUAUAGACUGAAACUUUCCAGCAGUGAAACAAGGAAUUCUGGCACUAUUUUGUCAUUAUACCUGUUAUUUCUUAGUAAUAGACUGCCAUCAUUUAUGACAUUUCCAUAUGUUGCCAUCCAUGUCUGUAUUUCACCUUAUCUAAAUAUCAGACUGUUACCAUGGUUACUCCAUGGCUAUCAGUCUGAAAGAAGUCGCUGUAAAAAAGACGCAAUAGUCUCUACCAGACAGAAUGUUGAAUAAAAUGAUAUUUAAACGUACUUUACCGGUUGUCUUUUUGGCGGUUGGAAGUGGAGAUAAAAUGGCCACAGGAAAGUACUAUUAGCCCAACUUUCUGGGGCGCCGGUAGGUAUAUGGCUAUGUCGGCUUGUAAUUCUGGUGAGUAUUUUCAAUCAAGUGAUGCAUUUCAUGUGAAGCACAAUAUGUAAACAACAGCCGAAUGUAACCAAACGUUGUCAACCGAAGCACGUUUCCUCGUAAUCAGCUGGAAGUGUUUGCCGUUCGGUCUGUGGUUAGGUUCAGACAAAUUGUUUAAGUGUUUGUCUCGUGCAAAUUGAGUCAGUAUUGAAAAUACAAACCGGAAAUAUACAGACCAGCGUACUGAAGGUCGGGUUGAUAACGUCCCCCUAUGGAUAUGUUGUAUAAGAUUACCUCCGACAUAGGAAAAAAAUCAUUGGACAACAGGUAAAGUGAGUUGAAAUGAAGUGUUCUCAACAUUUUGACUUGUAAUGUGACUGUUCGGGAAUGCUGAGCCAACAUGUUAGAGACGAGUAUGUAAGUAUUUCACUCUCAGAUUCUAAGAGGCUAUAUUUCACCAUAUCACCGCCAGAGCAAAGGUUCAUAAAUAAAGGGUUGGAUUUAAAGGAGUCCUGUUACUAUGGUAGACAACAGGGAAGUAUAUGGGUUUGCCCGGUGGGCAAGAGUAGUAAGGGUGAGGGAUUGAAACGUGUGUGUGGCUGUGUGUGUCGGAGCCCCACUAGCAGUGGUCAGGGUGGUACAGUAGUGUGGUAGUCUCAGGUAGCUCAGGCACCAACAGGUCUGCUCCUGAGGGGGGCGCUCAUGUCCCAGGAAUCAGGACUAUAGGAGAGAGGAGACAGUUCAUUGUUUAAAGCAGGGAUGGGCAACUUUGAUGGGGAUGGGGCCACACAAAAUCUGAACUCAUCAUGAGGGGCCGCAGUUGCCCCCCCAGGCUCUAAUUCUACCUUGAUUACUACAAGCCUAGAUCGGGCUGCUAGACUAACUUACCAAUCUAAAACAUGUUAGCUAACAUGGCUAAUUGAGUGACGGUCAGUGACUGACAUAAUAAGAUGAAAACUGUUGAUGCACAACAACCACAUUUCGAAAUUGCACCUUGUGUAUUCUAUUAUUCUACCUUGCAACAGUAAGUUGAGACGCCGACUGAGUUCCCUCCCCCCCGCGAAAUGAUCCGAGGGCCUUCAAAUGGGGGGGCCGCCA